GACGAACGCUGGCGGCGUGCUUAACACAUGCAAGUCGAACGGAAAGGCCCUGCUUUUGUGGGGUGCUCGAGUGGCGAACGGGUGAGUAACACGUGAGUAACCUGCCCUUGACUUUGGGAUAACUUCAGGAAACUGGGGCUAAUACCGGAUAGGAGCUCCUGCUGCAUGGUGGGGGUUGGAAAGUUUCGGCGGUUGGGGAUGGACUCGGGGCUUAUCAGCUUGUUGGUGGGGGAGGUGCUUACCAAGGCUUUGACGGGUAGCCGGCCUGAGAGGGUGGCCGGCCACAUUGGGACUGCGAGACGGCCCAGAGUCCUACGGGAGGCAGCGGUGGGGAACAUUGCACAAUGGGCGGAAGCCUGAUGCAGCAGCGCCGCGUGCGGGAUGACGGCCUUCGGGUUGGAAACCGCUUUCGCCUGUGACGAAGCGUGAGUGACGGUAAUGGGUAAAGAAGCACCGGCUAACUACGUG
rnacentral:rRNA from 1 species